AGUGAACGCUGGCGGUAGGCCUAACACAUGCAAGUCGAACGGCAGCACAGUAAGAGCUUGCUCUUACGGGUGGCGAGUGGCGGACGGGUGAGGAAUACAUCGGAAUCUACUUUUUCGUGGGGGAUAACGUAGGGAAACUUACGCUAAUACCGCAUACGACCUACGGGUGAAAGCAGGGGAUCUUCGGACCUUGCGCGAUUGAAUGAGCCGAUGUCUGAUUAGCUAGUUGGCGGGGUAAAGGCCCACCAAGGCGACGAUGGGUAGCUGGUCUGAGAGGGUGACCAGCCACACUGGGACUGAGACACGGACCAGACUCCUACGGGAGGCAGCAGUGGGGAAUAUUGCACAAUGGGCGGAAGCCUGAUGCAGCAACGCCGCGUGCGGGAUGACGGCCUUCGGGUUGUAAACCGCUUUCGCCUGUGACGAAGCGUGAGUGACGGUAAUGGGUAAAGAAGCACCGGCUAACUACGUG
rnacentral:rRNA from 1 species